GUAUUGGCUUAGUAAUUGUACAAAGUAACAAUGCUGAUGAUUUCAUGGAUGCAGUGUGUUUCUAGCCAUUUUCUAUCAGAAUUUAAUGAGGGCUUCUAUUGGUUUCCACUACAUAUUUUGAUCUGCAAAUGUAUUAACCAAAGCAAUACAAUUCCCUAUAACAAUUAGAAUUUAUAAGAUUUUAUAGCAGAGAAUGAAGUGUUUAUCAGUUCUGCAUUGAUUUCAAGGUUAUGGACGGUGCACAUUUCCAUUCCCCGGAGUAAAGGUGAGAAGCAUUUUUUAAGAUAAAGGUCGAGGUGGUAUUUUGGUCUUUAGGGCGUACCUGUCACGUUCCAGCAACGUACCACUAAAACGUCGCCACAACGAAUAUGGGAAUCACAAAGUUACGUCGCUGGAACGUUAUUCGGGACGUCGUUGCAACUAAUAUGAGCCGAUCCAGUUACGUUUUCACAACGUGCCAGUUUGGUCGUUGAGACGUUACUGUCACGUUCCAGCGACGUACCGCUAUAACGUCGCCACGACGAAUAUGGGAAUCACAAAGUUGUGUCGCUGGAACGUUAUUCGGGACGUCGUUGCAACUAAUAUGAGCCGAUCCAGUUACGUUUUUACAACGUGCCCGUUUGGUUGUUGAGACUGUCACGUUCCAGCGACGUACCGCCAUAACGUCGCCACGACGAAUAUGGGAAACACACUGGCUGCGUCCGAAACCGAAACUUCUCUAUUUAGUAGGGGAGAAGCAGUAGGCGAGCGAAUAAGUAUGUCAGAAGCAAAAAGAGUAGGCGAAAAUUACCUAGGUGACGUAAUAAUUCUCGCGAGAUUCGGCCGUGCGCCUACUUAAAGUGCGUCCGAAACCGCCUACUUACCUACUAUAUAAUAGGGGGAAAGCAGUAGGCGAGCGAAUAAGUAUGUCAGAAACCAAGUAAUCAUAAAUAAGUAGUCGAGAAGUUCCCGGAUGGCCUACUGCUUCCGCCCAGAUUCUGAAGUGUUCCUCGAUGGAUACUUUUCUAUCCCAGGAGGCCACGGGAGAGGAUACGUCAUAUCAAACACGGAGGAGAAGAGCGGCGCGGAUGCUGUCAAAUGUGAGUAUUGAAAACAAAAAAACGGUUCUUGUGUUAAAGUCACAUUUGUUGAACUACUGUAGAGUAAACUGCUGAAUGUGUAAAGAUGCUAGACAGUAUAGUUGUGAUUUUACAGUAAAAAUGUUUUAUUUUGUAUAGAGCUCUAGUAAACACAUAACUUAAUUCUCCGAAGAGGAUACAUCUUAAAGAUGCUUACUAAAUGUUUAUUUAACAUCUGACAGGAAAAUAUUUAGAAUAUAUAAAGUAUUAUGACUUAUGCAUGAUGGAUUAUGUUCCAUGAGUGAUGUGUAUGUGCUAUUAUGUAGAAUUCACUGUUGUCAAAACUGUUUACAUUACAUGAAUGCAAGUAAUGUAAAUAAACAAAUGUACACUUAACUAGACAGACAUAAGUUAUCUAUUUUAUUUGUCCGUUAGUACUUUUAAUAAAACAAGGAACAUUUGUGUUGGAUAAAAAGUGAGUUAAAACAAAUCUUCAACUACCUCAAAAUUUAAGGAUUUGUAGAUUUGAGCACAUGAAUCUCAGUGGAAACUUGAAUCUUGUCUGAUGUUACAGGGACAGAAAUUAAUACAAAGUCUAUUUAAAUCUUAAGUUGUAGUUUAUUUUAAUUAUUGUAAUUUCAAACAGAGUUAUUACAGUACUUUUCUGAUUCUUGAUGUCAGUGCAUUUGUUGCAGAGCUUUGUGUUGGAGCAGGACCUACAAGGAAAGAUGACAGUGGCAUUUGUGAAAAAAAAAAAAAAAAAAAGGAAAACCUGAAACAAAAAUAUAAAGAUCAUUUUGUUACUUCUAAUACAGAAAUCAAAGAACAUUGUACUGGUAAAAUGACUGCUUUUGUAUUAUGAUUGUGUAUUUUUGUAGGAUGUGAAAUGUCCUCAGACGGGUGUGAGCACUGAGGAUGGAGAGCCACACUCCAUCACUCCUCCUGCCCUUACUGCCUCAUCUGACCUGAUGUUGAUGUGAUUUCUUCAUCCUCAGUGAGCCAAGAGCCAGCGAGAGCAUCUAGACAAAGACCAAACAGGAUGAUCCCGCUGGAGUAACCUGGAGUAAAGCGUCUUGAUCAAGGACACACUGGAGGAGACGCUGCAGAGAUCAAACCAGCAAACCUUCUGCUGACCAGCUCAGCGGUUUAGACCACUACACCACAAAAUCAUGCUGAUGGAGAGCACAUGAAUGUUUGCAGCAGACACAGCAGAGCCAGAUUGUCCCGCACAUCUUCUCCCACUCCUGCUUCAAGCUUGUGGGGUUCAGAGGAUCAUCAUCAUGGUCUUCCUCAUCCUCUGGAUCAACGAUGUCCCCAGCAGUGAGGGACAUGAUGGAUGAAGGUGUUCAUCAGCUGCUUCAUCAGAAUAAAGCUGCAGAAUUGGCACAGCUGUGUGAGAUGGCAGCAGGACUGUAAAUACCUGAUUGUUAGAUCAAUAAAUUUGAAUAAAGCUUUGUUUCAUGUGUU